ensembl:snoRNA SNORD116 Small nucleolar RNA SNORD116
GGAUCAAUGACGACUCCCCUCAAAAGCAUCCCUUGGAAAGCUGAACAAAAUGAUUGAGAACUCACCAUAAACAUAAAAUUGUAAAACUUGAAAUGU